rnacentral:sRNA from 1 species
ACUUAAUAAGGAUAGUGAUUUUUUGAUUUUCGUCAAAUUUUCCUGAAAUUUUAAGUAUGAUGUUGUGUUUGCAUAUUGGUCUAGGUAACUAGACUAGAGUAACGAAAGUUACUCGUUUCACUUCCUGUAUAU